GUCACGAUCAGAAUAAAAGGUAGUUCGCUGGGUUUUGAUCCCAGGGGUGCUGGUUCGAGUCCAGCUCGUGACA
rnacentral:tRNA from 1 species